rnacentral:rRNA from 1 species
GAUGAACGCUGGCGGCGUGCCUAAUACAUGCAAGUCGAGCGAACAGACGAGGAUCUUGCUCCUCUGACGUUAGCGGCGGGCGGGUGAGUAACACGUGGAUAACCUACCUAUAAGACUGGGAUAACUUCGGGAAACCGGAGCUAAUACCGGAUAAUAUAUUGAACCGCAUGGUUCAUUAGUGAAAGACGGUUUUGCUGUCACUUAUAGAUGGAUCCGCGCCGCAUUAGCUAGUUGGUAAGGUAACGGCUUACCAAGGCGACGAUGCGUAGCCGACCUGAGAGGGUGAUCGGCCACACUGGAACUGAGACACGGUCCAGACUCCUACGGGAGGCAGCAGUAGGGAAUCUUCCGCAAUGGGCGAAAGCCUGACGGAGCAACGCCGCGUGAGUGAUGAAGGUCUUCGGAUCGUAAAACUCUGUUAUUAGGGAAGAACAAAUGUGUAAGUAACUAUGCACGUCUUGACGGUACCUAAUCAGAAAGCCACGGCUAACUACGUG